GUAAUUUGGUUUUGUAACAGGAAAGGAAUGUGAUGUUUUGAAAAUAAAUUAGUAGGAAAGGGCAACCAAGCCCUUGGCUUAAAGAGUAAGUAUUAUUAAAUGAGAGGUAUUGUGGUAAUUGAAUAAUAGUUGAUAAAUAUAAAUAGGAAGAAUAAAAACAAAAGGAACUAAAAGAGGGAGCUGUGUUUUUUGAGAGCAAACCGUGAGAGAGAAGGGAGAAGGAAGAAGAAGAAGAGAAAAGAGGGAAAGAUAAGGAAAGGAGAAGAGAAUUGGAAGAAAUAAGUUUAAAGGUUCUCCUAACAAUCCUCAAUAGGAUUUCGGGUCUUUUCGUCUGACAUUCCUUUUAGUUCUAUAUUUCCGGGUUCUUAGUUUCUGAUAGUAGGUGAACCUUAUUGAGUGUUCCUACUUCUUCAGUUUUGGGUCGGUAUACCUUGCUUAUCUUUCAAGGCUAUUUGAUUCGAUGUCUUAGGUGCUCCACUAUUACCUUGUUUUAAUUAAGUUUGGAUUUUUGACAAUGUAAUGAGUAUUAUGGAUUAUUGUUUUUGUUUUAAUUACUGAUGAGGAGUUUUUAACUA